CAGCCGCCGCGGUAAUACGUAGGUGGCAAGCGUUGUCCGGAAUUACUGGGUGUAAAGGGCGUGUAGGCGGGAAGGCAAGUCAGAUGUGAAAGCCCAUGGCUUAACUGUGGAAUUGCAUCUGAAACUGUUUUUCUUGAGUGCUGGAGAGGAAAGUGGAAUUCCUAGUGUAGCGGUGAAAUGCGUAGAGAUUAGGAGGAACACCAGUGGCGAAGGCGGCUUUCUGGACAGUAACUGACGCUGAGGCGCGAAAGCGUGGGGAGCAAACAGGAUUAGAUACCCUGGUAGUCCACGCUGUAAACGAUGGAUACUAGGUGUGGGAGGUAUCGACCCCUUCCGUGCCGGAGUUAACACAAUAAGUAUCCCACCUGGGGAGUACGGCCGCAAGGCUGAAACUCAAAGGAAUUGACGGGGGCCCGCACAAGCAGUGGAGUAUGUGGUUUAAUUCGAAGCAACGCGAAGAACCUUACCAGGGCUUGACAUACCGAUGACCGGGUUAGAGAUAACCCUUCCCUUCGGGGCAUCGGAUACAGGUGGUGCAUGGCC
rnacentral:rRNA from 1 species